UAGGGAAUAUUGGGCAAUGGGCGAGAGCCUGACCCAGCCAUGCCGCGUGCAGGAUGAAGGCUUUCUGAGUCGUAAACUGCUUUUGCCAGGGAAGAAAAAAGGGGAUGCGUCCUCUACUGACGGUACCUGGUGAAUAAGCACCGGCUAACUCCGUGCCAGCAGCCGCGGUAAUACGGAGGGUGCAAGCGUUGUCCGGAUUUAUUGGGUUUAAAGGGUGCGUAGGCGGCCGAUUAAGUCUGGGGUGAAAGCCCGUUGCUCAACAACGGAACUGCCCUGGAAACUGGUUGGCUUGAGUACAGACGAGGGUGGCGGAAUGGAUGCUGUAGCGGUGAAAUGCAUAGAUAGCAUCCAGAACCCCGAUUGCGAAGGCAGCUGCCUAGACUGUUACUGACGCUGAGGCACGAAAGCGUGGGGAGCGAACAG
rnacentral:rRNA from 1 species